rnacentral:tRNA from 1 species
CAAGAAGUAGUUUAAUUAGAAUUUCAGCUUUGGGUGUUGAUGGUGAGGCGCAUGCCUUCUUCUUGA